CAUUGGCUCAACCAANGUAUGCUUUGGAAACUGUUAGACUUGAGUGCAGAAGGGGAGAGUGGAAUUCCAUGUGUAGCGGUGAAAUGCGUAGAUAUAUGGAGGAACACCGGUGGCGAAAGCGGCUCUCUGGUCUGUCACUGACGCUGAGGCUCGAAAGCGUGGGUAGCGAACAGGAUUAGAUACCCUGGUAGUNCACGCCGUAAACGCUGAGUGCUAGGUGUUAGGUCCUUUCCGGGACUUAGUGCCGACGCUAACGCAUUAAGCACUCCGCCUGGGGAGUACGACCGCAAGGUUGAAACUCAAAGGAAUUGACGGGGGCCCGCACAAGCGGUGGAGCAUGUGGUUUAAUUCGAAGCAACGCGAAGAACCUUACCAGGUCUUGACAUCCCGAUGCCCGCUCUAGAGAUAGAGUUUUUCUUCGGAACAUCGGAGACAGGUGGUGCAUGGUUGUCGUCAGCUCGUGUCGUGAGAUGUUGGGUUAAGUCCCGCAACGAGCGCAACCCUUAUUGUUAGUUGCCAUCAUUAAGUUGGGCACUCUAGCGAGACUGCCGGUAAUAAACCGGAGGAAGGUGGGGAUGACGUCAAAUCAUCAUGCCCCUUAUGACCUGGGCUACACACGUGCUACAAUGGUUGGUACAACGAGUCGCAAGCCGGUGACGGCAAGCUAAUCUCUGAAAGCCAAUCUCAGUUCGGACUGUAGGCUGCAACUCGCCUACAUGAAGUCGGAAUCGCUAGUAAUCGCGGAUCAGCACGCCGCGGUGAAUACGUUCCCGGGCCUUGUACACACCGCCCGUCACACCACGAGAGUUUGUAACACCCAAA
rnacentral:rRNA from 1 species